UGGGGAUUAGCCAUGUUGGUCUGGUACAUGACUUUUGCUCAUGUAUGCGUAAGUUCGAGUCCUGCAUCCCAAGCCA
rnacentral:tRNA from 1 species